UUUCUCCUUUGACCUUUCACCUUUGACCUUUCCCAUGAUGCCAUAGGAAAGCUCCAUUUUACAUCUUUCACUCUUUCUCAGCCCAAAGGGAAGUCCCUUUCUUCUCUGACUCCAAACCAGAAGAGGUUUAGAGGGCUUGCUUCAUGUGCCAGGCCAUGGAACUGGGUGCUCAACAACCCCAAACGGAAGAUGCUCGGGACAGACGGAAACCCUUUUAGGUGGCCACCUAGAGGCAGAUGGAGAACUUGGAGAUUUCUGCCUCUUGGAAAAAAAUUUUCAUUUCCUCACUCGACCCAAGGGCCAGCUUGGAAGCAGGCAUGCAUGUGAUCAGAGGACAGUCCCUCCCCAGCGAGACAGGAAAUCCUGAGAGUCUUGCUGUGGUGAGAAAGCUGAUGCCGAUAGGAAAAGACACACUGAGCACAAGAGGAACCUAAGAGAAGACGAACCUGCGGCAAAGCAUUCGGGUUCCUCUGAGGACUGGGAAGGCCAAGCUCAGUGCCAUCCACGGUACAGCAAAUUCCAAUGCUCACCUCAUGCUUGAGUUUUGGGGUACAAGAGGUGUAAGGAGAAGAAGAGGAGGUGGCAAAUAGGAAACUAAAAGUGAGCCAUGAAUUUAGUUCAGUAGAAGAAUACUUGUGCAGCCUGCCCAAGGCCCUGGCUCCCAUCACCAAAAGCAAACAAAUGAAAAAUUUUAAACAACUAAAAUAUAAUGAUGUGACACAGUUCAUAGAAAGAACUUAAAACAAUGUCUACCACAUUAUUCAGUAAUGUCAAGACACUGUCAUUAUCGUCAUCAUAAUCAUUAUAAUGUGAAAAUUUCCUCCUCUUCUUCUCCUUUUCCUUCUCCUUCUUUCUCCUUUUCCUUCUUUUUUUGAGUCAGAAUCUCUCUAUGUAGUCCAGGCUGGCAUCAAACUUGUGGUAAUCCUCCUGCCUCAGCCUCCAGAGUGCUGGGAUUAUAGGCAUGUGCCACCAUGCCCAGCUCAUUUAUUGUAACUUCUGUAGGGCCUUGGGGAAUUCACUUUUCUUGAAUAAUCUUUCAUAAGUGAUUGCUAUUCUUGGGUUCUAUUCAUCAAGACUUUCAGUGAUAGUAGGCCUGGUGGUACAAGACUAUGCUCAGCAGUCUGGAAGGCUGAGGCAGUACAAUCACAAAUUCAAGAUCAGCGUGAGCACUUCAGCAAUUUAGCAAGAACCUGUUCAAAAAAUAGUAAAACAAGGGCUGGGGAUGGAGCUCAGUGUAUAAGACCUGGCUUCAAACCCCAACACUGGAAAGAAAAAAAAAAGACUCUUCUAGCAAUGUUCACUUGAGUCAAUGCAAAGGCUUAUAAAUGAAAAGUAAAACACAAAAACAUUAUUUCCUUUUUUUUUGUACCAGAGAUCGAACUCAGGACCUUGCUCUUGGGAGGCAUGAGGUGGAACCACUGAACUAAAUCCCUGGCCCUAUUUCCAUUUUUUAAUUGAAAAUUUUACUUUGACAUAGCCUAAUCUUUUCCUGUGCUUGGGGACUAGAAAGGAAAUAAUGGAUUGUAUUCUGGUGCUUUAUAUAAUCCCAAUAAUAAUCCCAUGUUGGUCAGGGAUUUAGCUCAGUGGUGGGGAUGCCUGCCUUGAAAGUGCAAGGUCCUGAGUUAAUCCCCAGUACCAAAAAAAAAAAAAAAAAAAAAAAAAAAUCCCGUGUCCUGACUCACCAUAUUUCCCUUGAAGAAACACUUGGGUUCAUC
rnacentral:lncRNA from 1 species